rnacentral:rRNA from 1 species
CCCUUAGAUGUUCUGGGCCGCCCGCGCACUACAUUGGCACUAGCAAAGAGAUCCUAGAUUGAAUUCUUUGGGGUAUUCUUCUAAAUGGUGUCGUGACUGGGAUAAAUCCUUGUAAUUAUUGGUUUUGAACGAGGAAUUCCUUGUAAUCGCGGUUUAUCAGCUCGCGUUGAAUGCGUCCCUGCCCUUUGUACACACCGCCCGUCGCUCCUACCGAUGGAUCGUCCGGUGAAGCUCACGGAGUGACUGUUCACGCAACGGUUUACGAAGUGAAAUGGACCUCACGAUUUAGAGGAAGGAGAAGUCGUAACA